UACGUAGGGCGCGAGCGUUAUCCGGAAUUAUUGGGCGUAAAGAGCUCGUAGGCUGUUUGUUGCGUCUGCUGUGAAAGCUGAGGGCUUAACCCUGGGUUUGCAGUGGGUACGGGCAGACUGGAGUGCAGUAGGGGAGACUGGAAUUCCUGGUGUAGCGGUGGAAUACGCAGAUAUCAGGAGGAACACCGGUGGCGAAGGCGGUUCUCUGGGCAUUACCUGACGCUGAGGAGCGAAAGUGUGGGGAGCGAACAGG
rnacentral:rRNA from 1 species